rnacentral:rRNA from 1 species
CUGGCACCUUCGGUGUCCGAGUUGUAAUUUGAAGAAGGUAACUUUGGAGUUGGCUCUUGUCUAUGUUCCUUGGAACAGGACGUCACAGAGGGUGAGAAUCCCGUGCGAUGAGAUGUCCAACUCUAUGUAAAGUGCUUUCGAAGAGUCGAGUUGUUUGGGAAUGCAGCUCUAAGUGGGUGGUAAAUUCCAUCUAAAGCUAAAUAUUGGCGAGAGACCGAUAGCGAACAAGUACAGUGAUGGAAAGAUGAAAAGAACUUUGAAAAGAGAGUGAAAAAGUACGUGAAAUUGUUGAAAGGGAAGGGUUUGAGAUCAGACUUGGUAUUUUGUAUGUCUUGCUUUCGGGUGGGGCCUCUGCAGUUUACUGGGCCAGCAUCGGUUUGGACGGUAGGAUAAUGACAUUGGAAUGUGGCACUACUUCGGUGGUGUGUUAUAGACUUUGUUGAUA